AGUCCAGACUCCUACGGGAGGCAGCAGUGGGGGAUAUUGCACAAUGGGGGGAACCCUGAUGCAGCGACGCCGCGUGGGUGAAGGAGCGUUUCGGCGCGUAAAGCCCUAUCGGCAGGGAAGAAGGAGGACGGUACCUGACUAAGAAGCCCCGGCUAACUACGUGCCAGCAGCCGCGGGAAUACGUAGGGGGCAAGCGGUAUCCGGAUUUACUGGGUGUAAAGGGGGCGCAGACGGCGAUGCAAGCCAGGAGUGAAAGCCCGGGGCCCAACCCCGGGACUGCUCUUGGAACUGCGUGGCUGGAGUGCAGGAGGGGCAGGCGGAAUUCCUGGUGUAGCGGUGAAAUGCGUAGAUAUUAGGAGGAACACCGGCGGCGAAGGCGGCCUGCUGGACCGUAACUGACGUUGAGGCUCGAAAGCGUGGGGAGCAAACAGGAUUAGAUACCCUCGUA
rnacentral:rRNA from 1 species